rnacentral:tRNA from 1 species
AUGGAUAGAGGGAUGGGUGGAUGGAUGGAAGGAUGGAGUGGCGAAAGCCUGGGCUCACACCAGGCGGGCACGCGGUGUUGGAGGAGGAGCAGCCGCAACAAUAAUAGUAGCAGCAGCAACGUAGGAAUCAGGGCGUUUGCUCCCUCUGCUUGUACAUUUACACCUUCGCUGCUUUCCAUUGAAACGACGCCGGCGAUUGCAGGACGCGGUGGACCAGCGCUCCCUGCUCCUGGAGGCUUUUGUUCUGAGGCGCCCGGACCCUGUUCAUCUCUGGUCGGGCACACAGGCAGGCUGACUGCACAAGCCUGCCCUGGGCGGUCCAGUGGCCGGACUCAGACAAACGAGAGUCAGGCGCCGCCUGCUGGCGACUGGGCUCUGAUUUCCCUCCACUCAACUGCCCAAGGAGCCACAGACAGAAUACCAGUCUGGAAACCAGAAUCGACCCUCACCUGCCCGUUCGGUGACCCUGAGUAGGGCAUCUACUAUCUCUGACUUCACUUCUGCUGCUGCUAAGUCACUUCAGUCGUGUCCGACUCUGUGCGACCCCAUAGACGGCAGCCCACCAGGCUCCCCUGUCCCUGGGAUUCUCCAGGCAAGAACACUGGAGUGGGUUGCCAUUGCCUUCUCCAAUGCAUGAAAGUGAAAAGUGAAAGUGAAGUCGCUCAGUUGUGUCUGACUCUUAGCGACCCCAUGGACUGCAGCCUACUAGGCUCCUCCAUCCAUGGGAGUUUCCAGGCAAGAGUAGUGGAGUGGGGUGCCAUUGCCUUCUCCAGAUAAAAUGAAGCAAAUUGGCGUGAAUGUGCCUCUCUUAAAUGGAAGCUACUUUGGUCAUUGGUGUCUUAAGCCAAAACGCAAAGUCUCUGGGGCAUACAUUCUCGUGGUUAUUCAGUCUCUAAGUCAGGUCUGACUCUCUGGCGAUCCUGUGGACUGUAGCCCGCCAGGUUCUUCUGUCCAUGGGAUUCUCCAGGCAAGAAUACUGGAGUGGUUUGCCAUUUCCUUCUCUAGGGAAACUUCCAGACCCAGGGAUCAAAUCCAAGUCUCCUGAAUUGGCAGGCAGAUUCUUUACCACUAAGCCACCGGGGAAGCCCUGGGUAUACAUUGUAUGUAUUAGCCACUCAGUCGUGUCCAACACUUUGUGACUCCAUGGACAACUCCAUGGUUGCCAUUCCCUUCUCAAGGGGAUCUUCCCAACCCAGGAAUCGAACCUGGGUCUCCUACAUUGCAGGCAGAUUCUUUACCAUCUGAGCCACCAGGGAUAUACUUUCGAAAACAAUAAAUUUAAAAUAAAAUGGAAAGUGAAUGGUUGA